rnacentral:rRNA from 1 species
GGGAGUGAAAAAGAACCUGAAACCGUGUACGUACAAGCCGUGGGAUCACCCUUUGGGUGUUACUGCGUACCUUUUGUAUAAUGGGUCAGCGACUUAUAUUCUGUAGCAAGGUUAACCGAAUAGGGGAGCCGGAGGGAAACCGAGUCUUAACCGGGCGUUAAGUUGCAGGGUAUAGACCCGAAACCCGGUGAUCUAGCCAUGGGCAGGUUGAAGGUUGGGUAACACUAACUGGAGGACCGAACCGACUAAUGUUGAAAAAUUAGCGGAUGACCUGUGGCUGGGGGUGAAAGGCCAAUCAAACCGGGAGAUAGCUGGUUCUCCCCGAAAGCUAUUUAGGUAGCGCCUCGUGAAUUCAUCUCCGGGGGUAGAGCACUGUUUCGGCUAGGGGGCCAUCCCGGCUUACCAACCCGAUGCAAACUGCGAAUACCGGAGAAUGUUAUCACGGGAGACACACGGCGGGUGCUAACGUCCGUCGUGAAGAGGGAAACAACCCAGACCGCCAGCUAAGGUCCCAAAGUCAUGGUUAAGUGGGAAACGAUGUGGGAAGGCCCAGACAGCCAGGAUGUUGGCUUAGAAGCAGCCAUCAUUUAAAGAAAGCGUAAUAGCUCACUGGUCGAGUCGGCCUGCGCGGAAGAUGUAACGGGGCUAAACCAUGCACCGAAGCUGCGGCAGCGACACUGUGUGUUGUUGGGUAGGGGAGCGUUCUGUAAGCCUGUGAAGGUGUGUCGUGAGGCAUGCUGGAGGUAUCAGAAGUGCGAAUGCUGACAUAAGUAACGAUAAAGCGGGUGAAAAGCCCGCUCGCCGGAAGACCAAGGGUUCCUGUCCAACGUUAAUCGGGGCAGGGUGAGUCGACCCCUAAGGCGAGGCCGAAAGGCGUAGUCGAUGGGAAACGGGUUAAUAUUCCCGUACUUGGUGUUACUGCGAAGGGGGGACGGAGAAGGCUAUGUUGGCCGGGCGACGGUUGUCCCGGUUUAAGCGUGUAGGUGUGUGUUCCAGGUAAAUCCGGUUCACUUUAACACUGAGGCGUGACGACGAGGCACUACGGUGCUGAAGCAACAAAUGCCCUGCUUCCAGGAAAAGCCUCUAAGCAUCAGGUAACAUCAAAUCGUACCCCAAACCGACACAGGUGGUCAGGUAGAGAAUACCAAGGCGCUUGAGAGAACUCGGGUGAAGGAACUAGGCAAAAUGGUGCCGUAACUUCGGGAGAAGGCACGCUGACACGUAGGUGAAGUGAUUUACUCAUGGAGCUGAAGUCAGUCGAAGAUACCAGCUGGCUGCAACUGUUUAUUAAAAACACAGCACUGUGCAAACACGAAAGUGGACGUAUACGGUGUGACGCCUGCCCGGUGCCGGAAGGUUAAUUGAUGGGGUCAGCGCAAGCGAAGCUCCUGAUCGAAGCCCCGGUAAACGGCGGCCGUAACUAUAACGGUCCUAAGGUAGCGAAAUUCCUUGUCGGGUAAGUUCCGACCUGCACGAAUGGCGUAAUGAUGGCCAGGCUGUCUCCACCCGAGACUCAGUGAAAUUGAACUCGCUGUGAAGAUGCAGUGUACCCGCGGCAAGACGGAAAGACCCCGUGAACCUUUACUAUAGCUUGACACUGAACAUUGAGCCUUGAUGUGUAGGAUAGGUGGGAGGCUUUGAAGUGUGGACGCCAGUCUGCAUGGAGCCGACCUUGAAAUACCACCCUUUAAUGUUUGAUGUUCUAACGUGGACCCGUUACCCGGGUUGCGGACAGUGUCUGGUGGGUAGUUUGACUGGGGCGGUCUCCUCCUAAAGAGUAACGGAGGAGCACGAAGGUUGGCUAAUCCUGGUCGGACAUCAGGAGGUUAGUGCAAUGGCAUAAGCCAGCUUGACUGCGAGCGUGACGGCGCGAGCAGGUGCGAAAGCAGGUCAUAGUGAUCCGGUGGUUCUGAAUGGAAGGGCCAUCGCUCAACGGAUAAAAGGUACUCCGGGGAUAACAGGCUGAUACCGCCCAAGAGUUCAUAUCGACGGCGGUGUUUGGCACCUCGAUGUCGGCUCAUCACAUCCUGGGGCUGAAGUAGGUCCCAAGGGUAUGGCUGUUCGCCAUUUAAAGUGGUACGCGAGCUGGGUUUAGAACGUCGUGAGACAGUUCGGUCCCUAUCUGCCGUGGGCGCUGGAGAACUGAGGGGGGCUGCUCCUAGUACGAGAGGACCGGAGUGGACGCAUCACUGGUGUUCGGGUUGUCAUGCCAAUGGCACUGCCCGGUAGCUAAAUGCGGAAGAGAUAAGUGCUGAAAGCAUCUAAGCACGAAACUUGCCCCGAGAUGAGUUCUCCCUGAGACUUAGAGUCUCCUGAAGGAACGUUGAAGACGACGACGUUGAUAGGCCGGGUGUGUAAGCGCAGCGAUGCGUUGAGCUAACCGGUACUAAUGAACCGUGAGGCUUAACCUUACAACGCCGAAG